rnacentral:rRNA from 1 species
ACGACCACAAGAUCGAUAGCAAAUAAGUACCUUGAGAAAGUUGAAAACAGCUUUGAAAAAAGAGUUCAAGAGUACGUGAAACCGUUUAGGGGUAAACCUAAGAAACCUAAAAUAUCGAACGAGAUUCAUCGUCAACGGCGUUGCUUUCGUUCGCGAGUUCUCUCGACUCGCGGCGCGGGCACAUUACCGUGCGCUGAUGUCCGGCGCUCGUCGUGCAUUUCUCCCCAAGAAGAACAUCGCGACCCGUUAGAUGUCGGUCUACGGCCCGGGUGCGAUGCCUGUCGCGUCGCCGGUAAAACGGCACG